rnacentral:rRNA from 1 species
UACAGAGGUCUCAAGCGUUGUUCGGGUUCAUUGGGCGUAAAGGGUGCGUAGGCGGCGCGGUAAGUCGGGUGUGAAAUCCCGGGGCUCAACCCCGGAACUGCACUCGAUACUGCCGUGCUUGAGGACUGGAGAGGAGACUGGAAUUCACGGUGUAGCAGUGAAAUGCGUAGAUAUCGUGAGGAACACCGGUGGCGAAGGCGGGUCUCUGGACAGUUCCUGACGCUGAGGCACGAAGGCCAGGGGAGCAAACGGG